rnacentral:rRNA from 1 species
UGGGGAAUUUUGGACAAUGGGGGCAACCCUGAUCCAGCAAUGCCGCGUGAGUGAAGAAGGCCUUCGGGUUGUAAAGCUCUUUUGUCAGGGAAGAAACAGCAGCUCUAACACAGUCUGCGAAUGACGGUACCUGAAGAAUAGGCACCGGCUAACUACGUGCCAGCAGCCGCGGUAAUACGUAGGGUGCGAGCGUUAAUCGGAAUUACUGGGCGUAAAGCGUGCGCAGGCGGUUAUACAAGACAGAUGUGAAAUCCCCGGGCUCAACCUGGGAACUGCAUUUGUGACUGCAUGGCUAGAGUACGGUAGAGGGGGAUGGAAUUCCCAGUGUAGAGGUGAAAUUCGUAGAUAUUGGGAAGAACACCGGUGGCGAAGGCGGCUCACUGGACCGACACUGACGCUGAGGCGCGAAAGCGUGGGGAGCAAACAGG